CACUAGCCCCGAUUGAAGCAGGUAUCCUUUUAUGCAAUGGAAUGGAAUAAAAGAUACUGUGAAAAGCGGGAAAUAGC
rnacentral:sRNA from 1 species